UAGACUCCCAUGUUCUCGAGUGGGGGAAAUCAAAAGUCAAAAGCAGUACAAUUGCCAUGAUAUUUGACUACUAAUUUGUCAAACAUACACCAAACAAAACCUCUAAAGCGGCAUGAACUAUUACACCAUCUGCUGGGAAUGUGGCUACAGAAACCAAGGUCAAACGCUCGCAAGGUAAUAUAUAUCUAAGGCUGCUCUAACAUAUAAAUCCUUAUUACACAGUAAUACAUAAACCAAGAAAAAUUAAAAUCAGUAAUAUUUUUAUAAAAAGGUUCACCAAAAACCUAAAACUAUUGAAAAGAAAAUGAUUUAUAAGAGAGAACUCGAAAAAAAAAAUAUAAGUAACAGUGACUCACAUGAAGCUUUAUGUGGUGACACUUCCGAAAGUUUCAGCAGAAUCUUUUCUCAUCUGUGCUCCAACAUUUCCUGCAGCUUGUGAAGCUGUCUCCUUGGCAGCCUCAUAAUUUUCUUUGGCUCGUUCACUCAUGGUUUCCUUGGCUGAUGUAUAUGUUUCCCCAACCCUUGCUCUAGCAUCAUCAUAGGCGCCAAAUGUUUUUUCUUUCAUGUUCUCUUUGGCAUUGCUGGCCACAUCUGAAACCGUGUUAAGCAUUUGGCCAGCCUUACCAUAAAAUAUAAAUGCAUAGGCAUCGGCAUCGGCAGCUUUAUCUUCGUAGUUAUCAUAGUAAUCUUUCCCUCCGGCCUUCGUGUUACUGGCCAUAUCUGAAGCCAUACCAUUGAUGAAUGCAUAGGCAUCGGCAGCUUUAUCUUCGUAGGUAUCAUAGUAAUCUUUCCCUCUCUGCUUCGCAUCACUGGCCAUAUUUGAAGCCUUGUUAGUGGCUUCACCAGCCUUACCGUAGACGAAGGCAUAGGCAUCGGCAGCUUUAUCUUCAUAGGUGUCAUAAGCUUCUUUCCCACUCUCCUUCCCGUAACUGGCCAUAUUUGAAGCAAUGUUAGUGGCUUCACCAGGCUUACCAUAGAUGAAGGCAUAUGCAUCCGCAGCUUUAUCUUCAUAGGUGUCGUAAGCAUCUUUCUCUCUCUCCUCGGCAUUACUGGCCAUAUUUGAAGCCAUGUCAAUGGCUUGACCAGCUUCACCAUAGAUGAAUGCAUAGGCAUCAGCAGCUUUAUCUUCAUAGGUGUCAUAAGCAUCUUUCCCUCUCUCCUUGGCCAAAUCAGGAACCAUUUUAAUGGCUUGACCUGCCUUACCGUAAAUGAAUGCAUGGGCAUCAGCAGCUUUAUCUUCAUACGUUUCGUAAGCAGAUUUUCCUCUUUCUUUGGCAUCAUUAGCCAUAUCCGAAGCUAUGUUCAUGGCUUGACCUGCCUUUCCAUACAUGAACGCGUAGGCAUCAGAAGCUUUAUCUUCAUAAGUAUCGUAUGCAUCUUUUCCUCUGGCUUUAACAUCACUGGCCAUAUUUGAAGCCAUGUUUGUGGCUUGAUCUACCUUCUCAUGAGCGAAGUUCUUUGCAUCACCCAUUUUAUCAGAGGCCAAGUUUGCAGCCUCAGAAGCAUAAUUUGC
rnacentral:lncRNA from 1 species